rnacentral:rRNA from 1 species
UCGCUGAACCUUAAGCAUAUCAAUAAGCGGAGGAAAAGAAACUAACAAGGAUUCCCCUAGUAACGGCGAGUGAAGCGGGAAGAGCUCAAAUUUGUAAUCUGGCGCCUUUGGCGUCCGAGUUGUAAUCUAGAGAGGCAUCGUCCGCGGCGGACCUCGCACAAGUCCUUUGGGAUGAGGCGUCAUAGAGGGUGAGAAUCCCGUACAUGACGAGGACUACCGUCGCUUUGUGUCGUGCCCUCGAAGAGUCGAGUUGUUUGGGAAUGCAGCUCAAAAUGGGUGGUAAAUUCCAUCUAAAGCUAAAUAUUGGCGAGAGACCGAUAGCGAACAAGUACCGUGAGGGAAAGAUGAAAAGAACUUUGGAAAGAGAGUUAAACAGUACGUGAAAUUGCUGAUAGGGAAACGCUUGAAGUCAGUCGUCUCGGCGAGGAUUCAACCCGGCUUCUGCUGGGCGCACUUCCUCUGUCGAGGGGCCAGCGUCAGUUUUGGGCGGCGAAUAAGGUCGGCGGGAAUGUGGCACCCUCGGGUGUGUUAUAGCCCGUCGUCGGACGCGUCGCCUGGGACUGAGGACCGCUAUUAUAGGAUGCUGGCGUAAUGGCUUUAAGCGACCCGUCUUGAAACACGGA